rnacentral:rRNA from 1 species
CGGUCCCAAGGGUAUGGCUGUUCGCCAUUUAAAGUGGUACGUGAGCUGGGUUUAAAACGUCGUGAGACAGUUUGGUCCCUAUCUGCCGUGGGCGCUGGAGAUUUGAGGGGGCCUGCUCCUAGUACGAGAGGACCGGAGUGGACGUAUCUCUGGUGGACCGGUUGUCACGCCAGUGGCAUCGCCGGGUAGCUAAAUACGGAAGAGAUAACCGCUGAAAGCAUCUAAGCGGGAAACUCGCCUCAAGAUGAGAUAUCCCGGGGGUUUAACCCCCCUGAAGGGUCGUCCAAGACCAGGACGUUGAUAGGUUGGGUGUGGAAGCGCAGCAAUGCGUUAAGCUAACCAAUACUAAUUGCCCGUGCGGCUUGACCCU